rnacentral:rRNA from 1 species
GAUGAACGCUGGCGGCGUGCCUAAUACAUGCAAGUCGAGCGAACGGACGAGAAGCUUGCUUCUCUGAUGUUAGCGGCGGACGGGUGAGUAACACGUGGAUAACCUACCUAUAAGACUGGGAUAACUUCGGGAAACCGGAGCUAAUACCGGAUGAUAUUUUGAACCGCAUGGUUCAAAAGUGAAAGACGGUCUUGCUGUCACUUAUAGAUGGAUCCGCGCUGCAUUAGCUAGUUGGUAAGGUAACGGCUUACCAAGGCAACGAUGCAUAGCCGACCUGAGAGGGUGAUCGGCCACACUGGAACUGAGACACGGUCCAGACGCCUAAGGGAGGCAGCAGUAGGGAAUCUUACGCAAUGGGCGAAAGCCUGACGGAGCAACGCCGCGUGAGUGAUGAAGGUCUUCGGAUCGUAAAACUCUGUUAUUAGGGAAGAACAUAUGUGUAAGUAACUGUGCACAUCUUGACGGUACCUAAUCAGAAAGCCACGGCUAACUACGUG